UCUCUAUAUACUUUACGUUCCAUAAUCCAUAUUCACACCUUUCACAUCGAUAUCAUAUUCCAUUCCAUCUACUACAUCGUUCCAUAUAAUUUUACCAUUGUUAGCUUUUCGGAAAUACAUAUUCCAUACGUUAAAAAAAACAAAAAAAAUAAAAAAAAAAAAAAGAAAGAAAAAAGGAAGCAGAAAGCAUCAAAAUUUUUGCAAGUCUCGAAACCUCUUGUUUCUUAGCUCUUCGUGUGUUCUUUACUUUAUUGGGUAGCAUAACUAGUUGAGGCACUUGUUUUCUGCGCAGCACUGACUUUGGGUCCCAGUCUGCGUCUAGGAGUCUUUCCUUUAUUUUUUUUGUCGAGUCCUAUCAAUUCUGUGUGUUUGCUGUGGUUACUUGUGGGGCGUGUUAUCGAGUGCUCUCGUCGAGUGCACUUGGUGUUCUCGUUGUGCAGUUGGUACGUUGAAUUCAAGUGGUAGAUCGAGGGAGUUUGAUUUUCUUGAGAAGAGAAAUCGAGUGGAAAAAGGCAAGAGUGGUGAGAUCAUUAAAGGGAAAAAACCGUACUUUGUGUGAUACACGAGUGUGAGCGAUUCAUCUUUGUGUGUUAUACACGAGUGUUAUGUGGCGGUGAGGUUUUUUUUUCCUUUCUUUUUGCUAACCUUUUUGUUUCAGGGUCACAAUGUCUAAGAAAGAUGGACAGGAGUCACCGACGGAGGAGCACCCUACCAUCGAUCCAAAUACAAAGUUCAUCAUGGAAGCUUUGCGGUCGGAGUUUGGCAGGCUUAUGCGAUCUGAAUUUGAGGGCAUGCAUGAGCGGAUGGACCAAUUUGAACAAGCUCACUCCAAUUCAAAUCGCGGUGA
rnacentral:lncRNA from 1 species